GCACUAUAAACUUAUCCUGUUCCAGUUCCGUGGUGCGAGGAAGAGUUGCUUUAUGUGCAAAAAUAAUAGCUGAGGAAAUCCAGACAGAGCAUGUUACACCUUGUGUUCCGUCUCUACACCUCUGCAACACAU